GAUGAAGAACGUAGCGAAAUGCGAUAAGUAAUGUGAAUUGCAGAAUUCAGUGAAUCAUCGAAUCUUUGAACGCACCUUGCGCUCCUUGGCAUUCCGAGGAGCAUGCCUGUUUGAGCGUCGUUGAAUUCUCAGAAUCCUACGAAGGCUGUAGUGUAGACUGGUACUACCGUCUUACUACUGGUCCUCCACGUGGGGUGUGGAUUGUGGAGGAUGCAUUUCUGCCCGCUUUGCUUCUCUGAAACGCAUUGCCGCUACGGCUGUGGUCACGAACCUGCCGCCGGUAUGAUACACAUACAUGUCUUACCUGCCGCAGAGCCGUGCCAGCCAGGCCAUACAAGACAAAUUCUCUAACGAUUUGACCUCAAAUCAGGCAGGACUACCCGCUGAACUUAAGCAUAUCAAUAAGCGGAGGA
rnacentral:misc_RNA from 1 species